UAACAUAUUAUAAAUUAGGUAGUAACGGUGUUUCUGAAACCUAAAGAACUUGGCGGUAUUUUAAAUAAUUGGAGGAACUUGUUAUUUAAUUGAAAUUCCUCAAUACAUCUUUCCUCAUUUUUGUUUGUAUAUCGUUGUUUUAAGACAACACUUGAAAGUGAAGUCAGGAUUAAGAGUUUUUACUAAAUCAAAUCAAGGUGCAGCAUAGUGGGGUUAUAGUGAGUUACAAUAUAUCUUAUAUAAACGGAAAAAAGCAUGAAAAAUUGAAAGAAGGUGGAUUCAAAAGUUAUAGAAAAUUAAAAAGUUUUUAUGAAUAAUAAUUUAAAAUAUGC
rnacentral:rRNA from 1 species